UUGGAGUCUUUGUACUGAGCCAUGGACAAGUAAAAGUCAGUUUCAAACUGCAUGACUCUCCAUAGUUGAAACCAAAACCAUCUGGAACCCCGAAUGCAAUGAUACUGCUCAAGAUGAUCUUCACUUGAGCUAUCAAAACUGAAGAAAAAUUUUGAGAAUGGCAUUGAAAUCACAUACGCGGCUACCUCAUCACUUUCUCAGUAGAUAAAUUCAUCAAGGCCCAUCCCCUUAUGAAUAUCUGUCGGUUCUGUCCACUUAUUCCACUUUUAAAACAAGCUAAAAGUAUUGCUUUUAAAAUCAAGUGAAAAGAAAGCAGUGCUUUAGUUGUCGUGUGGGAUGUGGGAAAGGUUUCUUUCUUGAUGAGUGAAGAUGAAAUAGCUGGUAUGAAACUUACAUAUAUUCCAAGAAGUGUUUUGGACAGCCAGCGUAGUUAUUCUACGUUGUUUUUUGUUUGUUUGUUUGUUUGUUUUGUUAUUUUUUUUUUCAAGGAAAGAAUUAGUCGUCUGAGUGCUUUAGAGAAGUUAUUUACUCCCUUAUUCCUUAUUUAGAAAGUUCUUGUCUCUGGCCAUGUUUAGAGUCCUAGAAGCCUAUUUUUUGCCAAACUUUUAACAUUCUUAGUAAUGAAAGCCACUUUAGAUCUUUUCCUGUGUCUUAUGCAAACCUCUAACUAACCUAGGAAUAGACUCUGGUUUCCCAUUUCCCUGAGGCUCACUCUGAAGUAGUUGAAGGGGCAAUUUGUCACAGAGAUAAAUCCAUCUUACCUGUUACGCAUCAUGUAGGCAGCACAUUUAUUCACAGAGACAGAGAAGGCAUGACUGUUAACACUGCUGAAUCAGUGCUUUCUAAACUGAGAUUAUAGAAUCAGUG